UACGUAGGGUGCGAGCGUUGUCCGGAAUUAUUGGGCGUAAAGGGCUCGUAGGCGGUUUGUCGCGUCGGGAGUGAAAACACUGGGCUUAACUCAGUGCUUGCUUUCGAUACGGGCAGACUAGAGGUAUGCAGGGGAGAACGGAAUUCCUGGUGUAGCGGUGAAAUGCGCAGAUAUCAGGAGGAACACCGGUGGCGAAGGCGGUUCUCUGGGCAUUACCUGACGCUGAGGAGCGAAAGCGUGGGGAGCGAACAGG
rnacentral:rRNA from 1 species